rnacentral:lncRNA from 1 species
AUGGUGGACCGUCCACAACAAUGUCUGCGCUGGUCUCCCUUUCAAGCAGUCCGAACCAACUAUAUUUUUAACAACGGACUCAUCCUUACGUGUUUGGGGGGCCCACACAGGGGAAUUAACAGUACAAGGCAUUUGGUCAAAGGAAGAAGCAGGCGAGCACAUAAACUACUUAGAACUUCUCACAGUACAGAAGGCACUGAAAGCUUUCGAACCAGCUCUCACAGGACAUGUCAUUCAAGUCAUCACCGACAAUACGACUACAAAGUACUAUCUAAACAGACAAGGAGGAACGAGAUCAAAGCGACUUCUUCAACUCUCCCUUCAAUUGUGGAAUUGGUGCAUCGACAAGGAAAUAGACCUAAUGGCGAUACAUCUGCCGGGAGAAGAAAAUGUCCUUGCAGACCAACUAAGCAGGACAUCUUUUGCGAACCACGAAUGGUCACUCCACGAGGAAGUAGUGAAGAUGUUAGUCAAUUACUGGGGAGUCCCGCGCAUAGACCUAUUUGCUUCACCACAAACUUCGAAAUGCCCUCUGUACUGUGCUCGCCAACCUGCCAAUCUGAGACCAGGAUGUCUAGGGGAUGCGUUCCUUCAACAGUGGAACGGCAAAUUUCUAUAUCUGUUUCCACCAAUUCCCCUUAUCACGAAGGUGAUUUCCAAAAUACAGAAGGACAAAACAAAUUGCAUUCUAAUCACCCCGUGGUAGCCUCGACAGCCAUGGUUUGCGAGCCUCUUACUUCUGUCCAAGAGGGAGUACAUUCGCCUACCAAGCCGCCCGAAUUUGUUAUCAACCCAGGGAGGUAUGGUCUGGCAUCCGGAUGUGCUUCAGCUCAAGUUGACAGCGUGGCGAAUUCGUUAAAUGCAGUGACUCCAACAUUAUCUGCUUCAGUGCAAAAGAUACUGUCAGCAGCACAUAGAACGUCCACAAAGAGAUCAUACAUGUAUAAAUGGACUCGAUUUAAAACAUUCGCUCAACAUAAAGGAGUUCAACCAGAAUCAGCACCGUCUGCCAUAGUACUAGACUUCUUGGGCUCACUUGUAGAUGCAGGAUUAUCAUUAUCAUCGCUGAAAUGUUAUCUUGCUGCAAUAUCCUGGUAUAGGAGGAAAGCUGGUUUACCAUCAUGUUUCACAGACCCAUUAAUUGCACUAUUUCUUCGAGAUUUUAAGAAUCUGAGACCAUGUGAUGACUCAUGGGCCUUGUAG